rnacentral:rRNA from 1 species
UCCACGCCCUAAACGAUGUCUACUAGGUUGAGGCGGUUCUGACACCGUCUCGGCCGAAGCAAAAGUGUUAAGUAGACCGCCUGGGAAGUACGGUCGCAAGGCUAAAACUCAAAGGAAUUGACGGGGGCUCACACAAGCGGUGGAGCAUGUGGAUCAAUUCGAAGCAACGCGCAGAACCUUACCUGGGUUUGACAUGCUUGGAUGCCCGUCCUGAAAGGGAUUGGGCUGCCCGCAAGGGUGAAACUUGCACAGGUGCUGCAUGGCUGUCGUCAGCUCGUGUCGUGAGAUGUCGGGUUAAGU